AUUUUUUCUUCAAGGAUAUCUAAAGAAAUUGGAACCAUACAGAGAACAUUAACUUAGUCGCAGUGCAAGAAUGGCAGAGACAAGUUAAGAAGUAUACAUAUAAUCU